AAUUGUUAGUGGCAGACGGGUGAGUAAUGCGUAGGAAUCUACCUAGUAGUAUGGAAUAGCCAUUAGAAAUGAUGGGUAAUACUGUAUAAUCCCUGCGGGGGAAAGAUUUAUCGCUAUUAGAUGAGCCUACGUUAGAUUAGCUAGUUGGUAAGGUAAUGGCUUACCAAGGCUAUGAUCUAUAGCUGGUCUGAGAGGACGAUCAGCCACACUGGAACUGAGAUACGGUCCAGACUCCUACGGGAGGCAGCAGUGGGGAAUAUUGGACAAUGGGCGAAAGCCUGAUCCAGCUAUGCCGCGUGAGUGAAGAAGGCCUUCGGGUUGUAAAACUCUUUCAAUAGGGAAGAUAAUGACGGUACCUAUA
rnacentral:rRNA from 1 species